CGUAGUCGAUGGGAAAAUGGUUAAUAUACCAUUACUUCUGUGUAAUGCGAUGAGAGGACGGAGAAGGCUAAAUCAGCCUGGCGUUGGUUGUCCAGGUGAAAGGAUGUAGGCAUGUAUCUUAGGCAAAUCCGGGGUACUCUAUGCUGAGAUCUGAUAGCAAGCUGUACUUGUACAGCGAAGUGGUUGAUGCCAUGCUUCCAGGAAAAGUCUCUAAGCUUCAGUUACACAGGAAUCGUACCCGAAACCGACACAGGUGGUCAGGUCGAGUAGACCAAGGCGCUUGAGAGAACUCUGCUGAAGGAACUAGGCAAAAUGGUACCGUAACUUCGGGAGAAGGUACGCUGUUGUUGGUGAUGGAACUCGCUUCCUGAGCUGACGACAGCCGCAGAAACCAGGCCGCUGCAACUGUUUAUUAAAAACAUAGCACUCUGCAAAC
rnacentral:rRNA from 1 species